rnacentral:rRNA from 1 species
UAAACCUGUAGGCAUGGUCAUAAAUUAGGAGGUAAAAAGAUAGUUAGAUAUAAAUAAAAUAAGGAAAGUUACAUUUAGUACUAUAUAUUUAGGUUAAAUUAAUAUUAGUUAAUUGUUUAUUAUGUAGAAUUCUGUUAGUUGAAGCUAUUAAGAUUAGGAUUUAAACUAGGAUUAGAUACCCUAUUAUACUUAAUUUUAGAACAUGGAAUUUGUACCUGAGUAUUACUGAUAUUAGAUUUAAAACUCAAAAGACUUGGCGGUGUUAAUUAGAUUUAUUAGAGGAACUUGUCCUGUUGUCGAUAAUCCUCGAUGGACCUUACCUCUUUUAGUGAAACAGUUUGUAUAUCGUCGUCGUAAAUUAACUUUUUAGAAUUUAUUAGUUAUUUAGUUAAGUUUAAUUUUUAUGUCAGAUCAAGGUGCAGCUUAUAAAGAGUGAUGAGAUGGGUUACAAUUAUUGAUUUAUAUUGGAUGUAUUAAUUAAAGAUUUAUUACUGAAUUUGGAUUUAAAAGUAAAUUGCUUUAGGGAGGUGAUUUGAAUAUUUACUAAUAUAUGC